GACGAACGCUGGCGGCGUGCCUAAUACAUGCAAGUCGAGCGAACCGACGAGGUGCUUGCACCUUUGACGUUAGCGGCGAACGGGUGAGUAACACGUAAGCAACCUGCCUAUCAGAGGGGAACAACAGUUAGAAAUGACUGCUAAUACCGCAUAUGCCUAAGUACCACAUGGUACAAUAGGGAAAGGAGAAAUCCGCUGAUAGAUGGGCUUGCGUCUGAUUAGAUAGUUGGUGGGGUAAAGGCCUACCAAGUCGACGAUCAGUAGCCGGACUGAGAGGUUGAACGGCCACAUUGGGACUGAGAUACGGCCCAG
rnacentral:rRNA from 1 species